rnacentral:rRNA from 1 species
ACAUAUUACCGAAGCUGUGGAGUACACCUUUAGGUGUAUUGGUAGGAGAGCGUUCUAAGGGCGUUGAAGGCAGAUCGUGAGGACUGCUGGAGCGCUUAGAAGUGAGAAUGCCGGUAUGAGUAGCGAAAGACAGGUGAGAAUCCUGUCCACCGAAUGACUAAGGUUUCCUGGGGAAGGCUCGUCCGCCCAGGGUUAGUCGGGACCUAAGCCGAGGCCGACAGGCGUAGGCGAUGGAUAACAGGUUGAUAUUCCUGUACCCGUUGUUUUUGUUUGAGCAAUGGAGGGACGCAGGAGGCUAAGGAAUGCAGACGAUCGGAAAUGUCUGUCCAAGCAGUAAGUCUGAAGAGGAGUCAAAUGCUUCUUUUCUUAAGGACAAGCUGUGAUGGGGAGGGAAAUAAUAGUACCGAAGUUCCUGAUGUCACACUGCCGAGAAAAGCUUCUAGUGAGAAAACAGCGGCCCGUACCGCAAACCGACACAGGUAGUCGAGGAGAGAAUCCUAAGGUGAGCGAGAGAACUCUCGUUAAGGAACUCGGCAAAAUGACCCCGUAACUUCGGGAGAAGGGGUGCUGAUCAUACGAUCAGCCGCAGUGAAUAGGCCCAAGCGACUGUUUAUCAAAAACACAGGUCUCUGCAAAAUCGUAAGAUGAA